rnacentral:tRNA from 1 species
GAGUAUAGCUUAAUUUUAAAGCUCUUCGCUUACACCGAAAAGAAGUCCGUUUAACCCGGACUACUUCUA